CCCUUAGAGUUUGAUCCUGGCUCAGGAUGAACGCUGGCGGCGUGCUUAACACAUGCAAGUCGAACGAAGCAAUCUAACGGAAGUUUUCGGAUGGAAGUUAAAUUGACUGAGUGGCGGACGGGUGAGUAACGCGUGGGUAACCUGCCUCACACUGGGGGACAACAGUUAGAAAUGACUGCUAAUACCGCAUAAGCGCACAGGACCGCAUGGUCCGGUGUGAAAAACUCCGGUGGUGUGAGAUGGACCCGCGUUUGAUUAGCUAGUUGGUGGGGUAACGGCCUACCAAGGCGACGAUCAAUAGCCGACCUGAGAGGGUGACCGGCCACAUUGGGACUGAGACACGGCCCAAACUCCUACGGGAGGCAGCAGUGGGGAAUAUUGCACAAUGGGGGAAACCCUGAUGCAGCGACGCCGCGUGAGUGAAGAAGUAUUUCGGUAUGUAAAGCUCUAUCAG
rnacentral:rRNA from 1 species